UAAGAGGUCCAGCCUGCCCAGUGAUAAAAUUUAACGGCCGCGGUACCCUAACCGUGCUAAGGUAGCAUAAUCACUUGCCCCCUAAAUAGGGACUAGUAUCAACGGCAUCACGAGGGUUACACUGUCUCCUUUCCUCAAUCAGUGAAACUGAUCUCCCCGUGAAGAAGCGGGGAUGUAGCUAUAAGACGAGAAGACCCCAUGGAGCUUUAAGCUCAGCAACACCUCCAUACAGACAUACCCCCGUAACCGAGAGCCCUGUUUGCUAGCUUUAGGUUGGGGUGACCGCGGAGUAUAAUACAACCUCCACGACGAAUUAGGCCUAAAACCUUUAUCCAAGAGCCACUGCUCUAAGAAUCAUAAAAUUGACGUAAAAUGAUCCGAUUUUCGAUCAACGAACCAAGUUACCCUGGGGAUAACAGCGCAAUCCAUUUCAAGAGCCCCUAU
rnacentral:rRNA from 1 species